UACGUAGGGGGCGAGCGUUGUCCGGAUUUAUUGGGCGUAAAGAGCUCGUAGGCGGUUGGGUAAGUCGGGUGUGAAAACUCAGGGCUCAACUCUGAGACGCCACUCGAUACUGCCCUGACUCGAGUCCGGUAGGGGAGCGUGGAAUUCCCGGUGUAGCGGUGAAAUGCGCAGAUAUCGGGAGGAACACCAGUGGCGAAGGCGGUUGCCUGGAGCUUUGCUGACGCUGAGGCGCGAAAGCGUGGGGAGCGAUCCGG
rnacentral:rRNA from 1 species